GACGAACGCUGGCGGCGUGCUUAACACAUGCAAGUCGAACGGAAAGGCCCUGCUUUUGUGGGGUGCUCGAGUGGCGAACGGGUGAGUAACACGUGAGUAACCUGCCCUUGACUUUGGGAUAACUUCAGGAAACUGGGGCUAAUACCGGAUAGGAGCUCCUGCUGCAUGGUGGGGGUUGGAAAGUUUCGGCGGUUGGGGAUGGACUCGCGGCUUAUCAGCUUGUUGGUGGGGUAGUGGCUUACCAAGGCUUUGACGGGUAGCCGGCCUGAGAGGGUGACCGGCCACAUUGGGACUGAGAUACGGACCAGACUCCAACGGGAGGCAGCAGUGGGAAAUAUUGCACAAUGGGAGGAAGCCGGAUGCAGAAACGCCGCGUGCGGGAUGACGGCCUUCGGGUUGUAAACCGCUUUAGCCUGUGACGAAGCGUGAGUGACGGUAAUGGGUAAAGAAGCACCGGCUAACUACGUG
rnacentral:rRNA from 1 species